rnacentral:lncRNA from 1 species
CUACAGUGAAGCACACCUCACUGACUAAACACAGUGAUGCCUUGUAGCCCGAGAGCCGACGUCUCAGACAGACAACUCGUUUUGUUCUAGACGGCUGGAAUAUGUCAGAUUAUGAUCCCAAUUAUGUGAUACCUCUGGUGCUGUUAACUCUGGCCUGCGUCAUCUCUUUCUGUCUCAAUGUCAUCUUCUGCAUGAGACAAAGAGCCACAUUGUGCAGAGACAGAGACGAGUGCUGCUUCACACACAUGUUUACAGGAGAAAGCCCGUCACAGGAUAGCGAGCAUCAUCACAAUGAGCAGCAGGAAAAUCCAAUCUACGGCAACAUCAGCUCAGACAGAAGAGAUUCUGCAGAGGUUUGCUAUGAGAUGAUGAGCAUGCGACACACAAGAGAUCGUAUGGAGUCUCCCGAGCCUGACCUGAAUUAUGCCUCGCUGGAUCUACAGAACGCAAAGAAACGCAUGAAGAAGAAUCGCCAUAAGCAAGGCCAAGCUCUGGGAGGAAGCCCACUUAAAGAGGAGCUGCCGGUCCACUUCACACCCCCAGUGAAUGCUUUCUUGGAGGUGGAAGCAGACAUGGAUGCUCACCUUCCUUCCAGAGACACCAGCACGAUGGUUUCACACAGUAGCAUCUACCUGAACAGUCAACAGAUCGCCCAAGAGACAGAGGAGAUGGCGAGAGAAAGGGGUGUAAACAUGGAGAGGGAGAAUGUGGGUUAUGAGGGAAUAAGAAGGAGGGAGGAUGGGCAAAGUAGAGAGUGGAAAAGAGAGUAUGAGGGAAGAAAAGAUAGACAAGAUAUUAAUGGGGGUGUAUGCACACAGCUUCCAGAAGUAGAGGCUAUUCAGAGUGGCAUAGCUCAUUUUUUUCAGCCAUGAUACUGACCCACAAGAUUAGGCAGACCUCACAUUACGAUUUUUGUUCAGAACUGAAUGAGCCACCUGAAAAAGAAAAUAAAUUGACUGUCCAUUACUGUGUCUGCAAGAAUGAAAACUGUGUGACCUUCAAUAUUCAACAAGCUUUGCGCAAUUUCCUAUUUGAUGCUAAAAAAAACUACUGCUUGAACUCUGCACAUUGAGCAACCGAGGAACACAAGGUGUACCUUUCUGUGCAGAGGAUGGAAUAAACGUAGAGGAGAAAAGGGAAACUGUGUGUGACAUUUAGAGGUCAAGGGCCACGUGGAAACUUUCAAUUUGUUGCGAAAGACAAUGAAAACACCAAAUCAUCACAGGACAUGGAAGAUCUUUCACUGUUUUGAUGUCUCAUAAUCAGAUGUCUCAUAGAAAGGUGAAGGGGGAAUAAUAAUGUGUUUUCCACGCUGUAGGCGAUGGCCAAGCCUAUAUACUUUCUUGAAUAACUUUGAACUUCUUGCCUGUGGAAACGUGAAUCUGCUUUUCUGUCAUGUUGUAUUGUAGGAAAUGUCACCAACAGAGUUAAAGUUACAAUAAUGGUCAUUAGCUUUAUAAUCUAUUGCACUCAUGAGCUAAUGCGCCAUCUACUUAAAUUAUGAUUUCCCUCUCUGUAAUCCCCUUUUUGGGAAGGAUAAUUUACUGCACUGCUUUCUGCCGAGUGAGCUGAGCUCUGAAGUGAACUCAGCAGUCAGAGGUCUGCACAACGCUUACUGUUUGUUGACAGCUUUUCAAAAACUUCCCAUGGCCUCCUUCCCCUCUAUGGAUUUAUUUUUGGCCUCAACUAUUUCAGACAUACAGGGAAGGAACAUAAAAAGACAAAUAACAAAGCACUAAUUUAACUGUCAUAUAGUGCUGAGACAUAUUUGCCUUUUGCUUCCUUAGAGACUGGCACUUUACCUAUGUUACAUUAAAGAUGUGAUUAGUAGAAUUUCAUCGUGAGUAAAUUAAUAUCAGCUACAUUUUGAAACAUAGGUAUAAGUACCAGAUUGUGAUCGACACCAUUGCAUCAGUCUCUAAAUCACAUUGUCUUAAUGCACAGAUGACAUUUGACAGGAAAUGAGGGGAGGGCGGGGGAAUGACAUGUGAUAAAAGUUUUCAGCCAAACCAAAAA